rnacentral:rRNA from 1 species
UGUAAGCGUAUACCAAAGUUGUUGCAGUUAAAACGCUCGUAGUCGGAAUUUGGCAGUUCCGGAUGUGUGCACGUCGUGUGCGCACUUCGCGGGGAUUGCUUUUGUGGUCUUGCGUAGGAUGAGGCACUUUUAUUAGUGAACGUCCUCACGCAACCACUUUUUACUGUGAGAAAAUCAGAGUGCUCAAAGCAGGCAUUUGCCGUGAAUGUAUUAGCAUGGAACAAUAGAAUAGGACUUGGUUCUAUUUUGUUGGUUUGUUGGGACUGAGUAAUGAUUAAGAGGGACAGUUGGGGGCAUUUGUAUUUCGGUGCUAGAGGUGAAAUUCUUAGAUUACCGAAAGACAAACUGCUGCGAAAGCGUCUGCCAAGGAUGUUUUCAUUGA